rnacentral:lncRNA from 1 species
UUUGGAAAAGAUGGAAAGAUGAAAUAUAAAAUAAAAAUAAAAACUCAAAAACACACACUGAGUGUGUGUGGGGUGCGUACGAUCGCACAGGAGAAGAGGCAGAAAGGGGUACAAACCCUAAUUCAAGAUAAACCUUCAAAUUGAAAGGGGAAACUGGCUCUAAUCGGAUGCAUGGACCUAGAUUCUUAAUCAUCUAGACUUUCUACACAUGAGAAUGGGUUAAA